rnacentral:rRNA from 1 species
UGGGGAAUAUUGGACAAUGGGCGAAAGCCUGAUCCAGCCAUGCCGCGUGUGUGAAGAAGGCCUUUUGUUUGUAAAGCACUUUACGCGAGGAGGAGGCUACUUGGAUUAAUACUCUAGGAUAGUGGACGUUACUCGCAGAAUAAGCACCGGCUAACUCUGUGCCAGCAGCCGCGGUAAUACAGAGGGUGCGAGCGUUAAUCGGAUUUACUGGGCGUAAAGCGUGCGUAGGCGGCUUCUUAAGUCGGAUGUGAAAUCCCUGAGCUUAACUUAGGAAUUGCAUUCGAUACUGGGAAGCUAGAGUAUGGGAGAGGAUGGUAGAAUUCCAGGUGUAGCGGUGAAAUGCGUAGAGAUCUGGAGGAAUACCGAUGGCGAAGGCAGCCAUCUGGCCUAAUACUGACGCUGAGGUACGAAAGCAUGGGGAGCAAACAGG